AACAGUGAUUAACAUUUAAGAGAGGUAGAGCCAUGCUUCAUUGGCCCAUUGUCAUGGCCGGCUCGACCGGAGUGUUACCACGGCUUCACAGAAUUCCGACGUUACCGGAGGCCCAAUUACCGCUCUACUCAAUCUACCCAAUCCCCGAUUCUCCAACAACCCUUAAAUUCCUAACCCCCCAGAAGGCCGGCAACGCACAUGUAAUGCCUCUGGUUUUUUGGGUGUCCGUGGUCAGUGGCGAUUGCUUACCAUCAGUUCGUUUAUCUGCGUAUACCGUAAAAAAAUAUAAUUAGGUAUUAAUUAAUUAAACUUUUUUGCAAACGAGUCUUACAUAUUCAGGCAAUUGAUUAUAUGGCCGUGAAGAGAGUCAUGCAAUAACAAUUGAUACUAUAGGAAUUUAAGCUAUUUAUAUAAAGGCGUUGACAUUGAAUCUCAAUCAGUUACUUUAACACAACGUUCGCAUUGACUAUUUGAUUGUUUGAAAGCAAGAAUACCAUUGAAAUAAUUCAAAUGAAUAUUUGUAAUCAGUCGUGACUUUUAUAUGAUUACUAAUUUAUUAUUAAAUUGUACCUUGUGUUUGAAAUAAAUGAUAAUUAAAACAG